AUUAAUCACCAGCGUUUAUUUUAAAAGCCGUUAGGAAUGAAAGCGGUGGAGGGAAGAGCAUAGUCAUCAUCUCCAUGUCUGUGAAGCACAAAGUCCACUGUGAGCUCCUGCUUCCUUCCUCUCUGCUCAACUUGCUUUCACCGUGGCACAACAGGAAAAGGCAAAGAGAGCUCGGACAACUUCAGCAGUUGCAGUGUGAAGUAGGGAGGAAAGUGGAAAAAAAUGGCUCCUUUUAAGAACAGCUCCAGGGGAGAGCUGGUACAGUAGAUCGAAAGGCUCUUGGAGGGGGCGAGGCUGAACUGAAAGAGGGCAUCAGGGGGUAGAUUGAAAAAAGAAGGAAAGGAGGGAGGAGGGGUUGGUCCUGGACCAGCCAGGCGAGUCGGAAGGCGAGUCGGAAGGCAAGCGGAGCAGAGCGGCGAGUCGUGGGACUAUAUCCAGAGGGUGAAGUCUCAGACGGUCCUUACAGGAGCAGACAACCACGGGACAUGCCGCCUUCUGUUUCACAAUUUCCCUGCAGUCCUCUUUCUCUUCCCGAACCCAGCGUGCAGCAGGAAACAAAGUGCCACGCAAACCGCGCUCCUCUUCUUUCAAUGAAACGUAUCGCUGCUACACUUAGUUCCUUCUUUUCUUUUCUUUUCUCCCUGUUGUAUUUUUCUCUCGUGCAGUUGCACAGCUGAAAUGGUUUGCAGCUGCUAAAAAAAUCUCCCUCUCUGGCUCUCACUCUCACUGCCCCCCUCCCUCCCCCCCUAUAGAUCCCACCCCCUCGUCACUUGGUGUUUGUGUUUGAAUUCAGCUCCGUUUGUUCAGUUUCCUGUGCUGGUAUUAAAAACACAGGAAGUGCUCCAAUCAAGCUGGUUCCCCCUGCCCCCCCUCCCCCCAAAAAAGGAGAAAAACCCAAUAGAGAGGGUGAAAGGGGCGCAGAGCCGAGGUGCUGAGAGAAGGCGCUCAGUCAGAAAGAAAAGGAGCCAUGCAGAAGAAGAUUCAAAGCUAAAUAUUAGCUGAACGUUGGGAUCAAGCCGAUAAUCCCACGCUGAUCAGAAUGGCAGAUUUCCUCAAAAAAGCAUGAAAAAAUGAUUUAUUUACUGCAAUAUAAAGCAGACAAUUUUCGCCAAGACACCAGAUUUUAAACCAAAAAAGGACAAACUAGUGAUGUAAGACAAAUUUGCAUUCUUUGGUAAUCCACUGUGAAGGACCGUCUAUCCACACAGAAUAAUAUGGCUCUCUGCAAAGAGUAAAAUAAUGAAGUCAAACAAAGAAUAAGGCAUGGAGGUAGGUGGGGAGGGGGUGGGACUGUUAGUCGUCAGGAGAGAAAGAGGCUUAUCAGCAGUGAGCGGUCCUUAUUUUCCUCCUCCCACCAAAAGUCCAGGGGAAAUAAAGUCCAUCUCCAGUUUCUGCA